AGAUAUAGAGUGUGAGAGAGAAGAGUGGAGGCUGGUUCUCAGGCUCCAGAAGCAUAAGCCUGCAUGGAGCAUAGCGUCACUGAGCAAGACAGGUGUGGAGGAUGAGAAGCGGGCCACAGGAUGGGAAGGGAAUCUGUGUGGAGGCGGUGCCCUAAACAUGCUGCCUUGAGGAGGGACCUCUACAUGGGGUGGCCGGGCACAGCCAGAUGUCCCUGGAGACAGCGCCAUCUGGUGGAACUUCCUGUAACGAUCGAGAUGUUCCGUCUGUGCCGUCCAACAUGGGAGCCAUGCAGGACACAUGGUGACUGAGCACUGGGACUGUGUGCCGCGUGACCAAGAGCAGCUCAGCUCUAAAGUCUCCUCCAGCUUUAUGAUGUCACUUCCUGUAUCUUCUCUACACAUUCUUUCCUUCAGCCUGUUGUUUGUAAGUUUUUAUGUAGGAAAGUAGAAAAUUCAGAAUAUGUUUCAUCAGGUUUUUGUUUGGCAAAGUGUCAACAUGUUUAUAACAGAGUUAAAGAUAAAGGAAACCUUUUGGGUUAUUUUGGAGAAUUGAGGGCAAGACAAAAGGCUCCCUAACUGCAGGGAAAGGGGAGGCAAGUCAUGAGCUCUGAGAAGGCCUGGCAGUGUCUGUGAACACAUGAGAUGUGCCUGUCACCCCAACUCUGCCAAGGCAGCGUGCAAACAGCCCCUGUUGCACCUCCACUUUCUGCCUGGAGGCCCGAGCAACCGAAGGCUGUCACAUCAGCCCAGCUACUGGGAAAUGCCAAUUUGGAAGCCCAGGACUUACCGCCAAACCUACGGGCCAGUCCCCCGUACAUGUAAAAGUACACCCACCCCAGCAUGGACAUGAUAUUUAUAGGAGUGUUUCUCAACUGAGGGCAAUUUUGCCCCCUGGGGACAUUUGGUUGUCACAAAUGAGGGAGGGGGUGCUAGUGGCAUCUAGUGGGUGGAGGCCAGGGGUGCUGCUCAACCUCCCACAGCCCACAGGACAGCCCCCACAACGGAAUUACCCAGCUGCCCCAAACCUCGGUAGUGCUGAGGUUGUGAUACCCUGAUUUAUGGCAACAUUCCCUCUGAAAACACAAAGCUCUAUUACUUGGAUCCCUGGAGCAGAAGUAACUUUUUAAUAAACAAAAUGGCUUAUUUUCAGA
rnacentral:lncRNA from 1 species